rnacentral:rRNA from 1 species
GAUGUUGGCUUAGAAGCAGCCAUCAUUUAAAGAGUGCGUAAUAGCUCACUAGUCGAGUGACACUGCGCCGAAAAUGUACCGGGGCUAAACAUAUUACCGAAGCUGUGGAUUGUCCUUUGGACAAUGGUAGGAGAGCGUUCUAAGGGCGUUGAAGCAUGAUCGUAAGGACAUGUGGAGCGCUUAGAAGUGAGAAUGCCGGUGUGAGUAGCGAAAGACGGGUGAGAAUCCCGUCCACCGAUUGACUAAGGUUUCCAGAGGAAGGCUCGUCCGCUCUGGGUUAGUCGGGUCCUAAGCUGAGGCCGACAGGCGUAGGCGAUGGAUAACAGGUUGAUAUUCCUGUACCACCUAUAAUCGUUUUAAUCGAUGGGGGGACGCAGUAGGAUAGGCGAAGCGUGCGAUUGGAUUGCACGUCUAAGCAGUAAGGCUGAGUAUUAGGCAAAUCCGGUACUCGUUAAGGCUGAGCUGUGAUGGGGAGAAGACAUUGUGUCUUCGAGUCGUUGAUUUCACACUGCCGAGAAAAGCCUCUAGAUAGAAAAUAGGUGCCCGUACCGCAAACCGACACAGGUAGUCAAGAUGAGAAUUCUAAGGUGAGCGAGCGAACUCUCGUUAAGGAACUCGGCAAAAUGACCCCGUAACUUCGGGAGAAGGGGUGCUCUUUAGGGUUAACGCCCAGAAGAGCCGCAGUGAAUAGGCCCAAGCGACUGUUUAUCAAAAACACAGGUCUCUGCUAAACCGUAAGGUGAUGUAUAGGGGCUGACGCCUGCCCGGUGCUGGAAGGUUAAGAGGAGUGGUUAGCUUCUGCGAAGCUACGAAUCGAAGCCCCAGUAAACGGCGGCCGUAACUA